UACGUAGGUGGCAAGCGUUGUCCGGAUUUAUUGGGCGUAAAGCGCGCGCAGGCGGUUCCUUAAGUCUGAUGUGAAAUCUUGCGGCUUAACCGCAAGCGGUCAUUGGAAACUGGGGAACUUGAGUACAGAAGAGGAAAGUGGAAUUCCACGUGUAGCGGUGAAAUGCGUAGAGAUGUGGAGGAACACCAGUGGCGAAGGCGACUUUCUGGUCUGUAACUGACGCUGAGGAGCGAAAGCGUGGGGAGCGAACAGG
rnacentral:rRNA from 1 species